AACAAACGAGCAAAUCAAAAACUCGUGUCAGUAUCAUAGAUUUAAAUGCAAAACUUAAAACAACAAAACUUUUUAAAGAAAACAUAGAAAACUUUUGUGACCUAGGCAUAGGAAUAUAUUUCUUAGGAUACAAAAAGCAUGAAACAUAAAAUUUUAAAAUUGAUAAAUUGAACUUAAAUGAAAAUUAAAAAUUUUUGGUCUUUGAAUGACACUAUACAGAAAGUAAAAAGACAGACUGCAGAAUUGGAGAAAAUAUUUUUAAAAACACCUAUCUGACAAAGGGUUUCCAUCCGCAGUAUAUAACAAACUCUCAAAAACCAAUAAGAAGAAAAUAACCCACCAAAAAUUGGCAAAAAAUGUGAGCAGAUAUUUAAUCAAAAAAGGAACACAAAUGGCCAAGAUGCACAUGAAAGCAUGUUCUAUCUUACUAGUCAAUAGAAACAUGCAAGUUAAAACCACAUUGAAAUAUAACUAUAUACCUAUUAGAAUGGCUAAAAU
rnacentral:lncRNA from 1 species